UACGGGGGGAGCAAGCGUUGUUCGGAUUUACUGGGCGUAAAGGGCGUGUAGGCGGCCAACUAAGUCCGACGUGAAAUCCCCAGGCUUAACCUGGGAACUGCGUCGGAUACUGGAUGGCUUGAAUCCGGGAGAGGGAUGCGGAAUUCCAGGGUGUAGCGGUGAAAUGCGUAGAUAUCUGGAGGAACACCGGUGGCGAAGGCGGCAUCCUGGACCGGCAUUGACGCUAAAGCGCGAAAGCCAGGGAGCAAACGGG
rnacentral:rRNA from 1 species